UACGUAGGGUGCGAGCGUUAAUCGGAAUUAUUGGGCGUAAAGAGCUUGUAGGCGGUUUGUCGCGUCUGCUGUGAAAUUUCGGGGCUCAACCCCGAACUUGCAGUGGGUACGGGCAGACUAGAGUGUGGUAGGGGAGACUGGAAUUCCUGGUGUAGCGGUGAAAUGCGCAGAUAUCAGGAGGAACACCGAUGGCGAAGGCAGGUCUCUGGGCCAUAACUGACGCUGAGAAGCGAAAGCAUGGGGAGCGAACAGG
rnacentral:rRNA from 1 species